UAAGGGCGCACGGUGGAUGCCUUGGCACUAGAAGCCGAUGAAGGACGUUACUAACGACGAUAUGCUUUGGGGAGCUGUAAGUAAGCUUUGAUCCAGAGAUUUCCGAAUGGGGAAACCCAGCAUGAGUUAUGUCAUGUUAUCGAUAUGUGAAUACAUAGCAUAUCAGAAGGCACACCCGGAGAACUGAAACAUCUUAGUACCCGGAGGAAGAGAAAGAAAAUUCGAUUCC
rnacentral:rRNA from 1 species